rnacentral:rRNA from 1 species
GUGCCAGCAGCCGCGGUAAUUCCAGCUCCAAUAGCGUAUAUUAAAGUUGUUGCAGUUAAAAAGCUCGUAGUCGGAUUUCGGGUCGGGCCGAGCGGUCUGCCGAUGGGUAUGCACUGUUUGGCGCGGCCUUCUUUCCGGAGACCGCGGCUACUCUUAACUGAGCGGGCGUGGGAGACGGAUCGUUUACUUUGAAAAAAUCAGAGUGUUUCUAGCAGGCAGCUCGCUCUUGCAUAGGUUAGCAUGGGGUAAUUUAAUAGGACUCUGGUGCUAUUUUGUUGGUUUCGAACACCGGAGUAAUGAUUAAAAGGGGCAGUCAGGGGCACUCGUAUUCCGUCGAGAGAGGUGAAAUUCUCAGACCAAUGGAAGACGAACCACUGCGAAAGCAUUUGCCAGGGAUGUUUUCACUGAUCAAGAACGAAAGUUAGGGGAUCGAAGACGAUCAGAUACCGUCGUAGUCUUAACCAUAAACCAUGCCGACUAGGGAUUGGAGGGUGUUCGUUUCGACCUCUUCAGCACCUUACGGGAAACUAAAGUCUUUGGGUUCCGGGGGGAGUAUGGUCGCAAGGCUGAAACUUAAAGGAAUUGACGGAAGGGCACCACCAGGAGUGGAGCCUGCGGCUUAAUUUGACUCAACACGGGGAAACUUACCAGGUCCAGACAUUGUUAGGAUUGACAGAUUGAGAGCUCUUUCUUGAUUCGAUGGGUGGUGGUGCAUGGCCGUUCUUAGUUGGUGGAGUGAUUUGUCUGGUUAAUUCCGUUAACGAACGAGACCGUAGCCUGCUAAAUAGUUCCGCGAACUUCUUGUUGGCGGUCGACUUCUUAGAGGGACAACUUGUGACCAACAAGUGGAAGUUUGCGGCAAUAACAGGUCUGUGAUGCCCAAG